rnacentral:rRNA from 1 species
AGUGAACGCUGGCGGUAGGCCUAACACAUGCAAGUCGAACGGCAGCACAGUAAGAGCUUGCUCUUACGGGUGGCGAGUGGCGGACGGGUGAGGAAUACAUCGGAAUCUACUUUUUCGUGGGGGAUAACGUAGGGAAACUUACGCUAAUACCGCAUACGACCUACGGGUGAAAGCAGGGGAUCUUCGGACCUUGCGCGAUUGAAUGAGCCGAUGUCGGAUCAGCUAGUUGGCGGGGUAAAGGCCCACCAAGGCGACGAUCCGUAGCUGGUCUGAGAGGUUGAUCAGCCACACUGGAACUGAGACACGGUCCAGACUCCUACGGGAGGCAGCAGUGGGGAAUAUUGGACAAUGGGCGCAAGCCUGAUCCAGCCAUACCGCGUGGGUGAAGAAGGCCUUCGGGUUGUAAAGCCCUUUUGUUGGGAAAGAAAAGCAGCAGGUUAAUACCCCGCUGUUCUGACGGUACCCAAAGAAUAAGCACCGGCUAACUUCGUG